rnacentral:rRNA from 1 species
AUGAACGCUAGCGACAGGCUUAACACAUGCAAGUCGAGGGGUAACAGGGUAGCAAUACCGCUGACGACCGGCGCACGGGUGAGUAACGCGUAUGCAACCUGCCUAUAACUGGGGAAUAGCUCCCUGAAAGGGGGAAUUAACACCGCAUAACACUAUUGAUUCGCAUGGAUUAGUAGUUAAAUGUAGCGAUACAGGUUAUAGAUGGGCAUGCGUGACAUUAGCUAGUUGGUGAGGUAACGGCUCACCAAGGCUACGAUGUCUAGGGGUUCUGAGAGGAAGGUCCCCCACACUGGUACUGAGACACGGACCAGACUCCUACGGGAGGCAGCAGUGAGGAAUAUUGGUCAAUGGGCGCAAGCCUGAACCAGCCAUGUCGCGUGCAGGAAGACUGACCCCUAUGGGUUGUAAACUGUCUUUUAUAGUAGAAGAAACACAUCUACGUGUAGAUGUCUGCCAGUAUACUAUGAAUAAGCAUCGGCUAACUCCGUGCCAGCAGCUGC